CAGGGAGGUGCAAACAGCUCUCCACAGGCUUUACCCACAUCUAUUCAACAAAUCAAAUAUCCAUAAAUAUGCGUUCAACUGCACAGUAAUACACAAUCCUUGGGCAUUUGAAAACUUGCAGUUAUUUCUAUUCAUGGAUGGGGUUUCGACCAGAAUAUGUACCACUCCUACCCACCCAAGACGGAAAAAAGAGGAGGAAAAAAGAAGAGUCGAGUCUCAAAGUCUCAAAGCCCAUUAUUACUGAUUGAUUAUUGAUUGGCGGGAUAUUAAAGGGUUCCCCUCCUGUCUAUUAAGGGUUCACUACCACAUCACGCUAACAACAAACAUAUCUUAAACAAAAUAUAAUAAUAACAAUAUUAUCUUUCAUGUUUAUUCUUGCAUGUGUGUGUCUACAGGAUGGUUAUAUCCAAACAACAAAUACGAGCAGCCAGAACAUGCCGUGUACAUUCUGAACUGCAUGUCACAGUUCGAACUGCUUUUAUGGCAGCAGACAGAGCGACUAGUUUCAUGGCUCAGGUGACCUGCGACAAAGAAGUGCAGACGGCUCUUCACAGGUUGUUCCCUCAUCGCUUCAACCAAUCGAACAUCCAUGCGUAUGCAUUUAAUUGCACUUGUAGUAUUGGUUGCAGUAAUUCCUACCCAUGGAUAGGGUGUCAACCGAAAUCUAUUACUUUCGAUCGCCGCUGCGUUGAUUCAGAACAACGGUACUCCAUUAAUUAAUUGUUUUAGAUUCUUUUCUUUAUACCUCUUACCUUUGUAGCAGUUCGUGGAAAUUGUGGACGACGUAGUCCAAGAGGGGCAGGACGUGGUGCUUUGGCCGCAGGACUUGGUGCCUUGGCCGCAGUACGUGGUGCGUUGGCUGCUUAGCCUGUUGCAUUGGCUGUUUGGCCUGGUGCAUUUGCCGCUGGGCAUGGUGCAUUGGGUGCUGGACGUUAUGACUCCCUCGCAUCACGCUUAUUCAUAUUAGUUCGUUGAAUUUUCUUUUACAGUUUUUUUUAUAAAUUUGAGCAUGCAGCGUCCCCCCAUUUUGAGUUUUUGAA